rnacentral:lncRNA from 1 species
CUGCCAUCUACAUUAUUGUAUUUCUCUUGGAGAAUCACACUUCUCCAGCUUUCCCCUCCCAAGUGACUUUCCUCACCGACAUAACCAUUCUUUUCCUAAAUACCACUUAUCAUCUCCCAGAAAAAAGUAAAGAUUAAAAAAAAAACAUGUUCAAGGUACAUCCAAGAUUUCAUAGCAAUAUUUGGUGUUCACAGUGCAAGAUAAAUCUGACUCUCAAGUUUUUUGGUCUUCAUAUGGCAUCCGAAACAGUUGUUCAUAUUCACACAUUUAUGUUUUACCAUAUGCAUACUGUGUGCAACUCUGUUGUUUUAAAAUAUUUUAUUGGUUUUCCUUUAUAUCUUAAGUUUUGAUGGGUGUCCUUGAAGAACUUGCAUGCCAAAAAAAGUAAAUGUGAAUGAUUCAUUCAUUUUGAAUAUAUGAAACUAUUUUGGGGAGUUUUUACCCUUACAUGGAGCACACUGUUCUCAGCAGAGAAUGUACUUUGUAUUUCUGUUCAGUUUACAGCUGGAUGCUAGAGUUGUAUUAAUAUUGUUAGCCUGUACCUUCUACAUCCCACGUUUACUUUCGUGAGUUAUUUAUAUGUACUAGACUGUCCUGAGUUUUUGGUGCUUGUGAAUGGUGGUCAAUAGUUUUACAGAUUUCACUUAUGGGGACAAUUUAAUGUAACAUGGCUUACAAUCUGGUCUUCCUUUAGAAGACCUUUAGUCACAAGAAGGCUUUCAUGGGCUAAUUCAUUGUUUCAGGCCAGACUUGUUAGUUGUAAGGUAGGAGCUGCCCCAAACCUGUCCCAUCACUUCAUGGGCAUUUCUAGAUCUGGCUGCUAUUAUAUUUCUUCCUCCAAAGUUUUCCAGCAGACAAUCAAUCCCUGGGUGGUCCAGAAUUUCAAGAGAGAAGAAACAAAAAGUAUUUUCUCCUACAAAAGUUUGAACUCUCAUUUUAGAAACUUUGGAAAUCUUCAGAACAUUCCAUGUAGGUGUCCCUGUGUUCCUCACAGUAUGACUUAUUGACUUAUGGUGUCUUCUAUUUAAGAAGCAUGAAUGUAUCUCCAGCUGUUACCAAAACAAACAGCUAUAGAAUGUAAUGACCCACCCCAUUUCUAAAAUUACUUCUGUUGAUGGAUAGUGUAUAGGAAGACGUUUGGAAAUUUUUUUAAUUGUUAAACUUAAAAACUAGAAUACCUUUCUACUUUUUGUAAUGUCCCAGAUUUCAUAACACUGGUUUUAAUGUAUUAUUGCUGCACUGUUACGUCUGUGUUUUACCUGGGCAAACUAGUGAAAUAUUUAAUGUCUAUACUCUUGUGAUACAAACACCCUUGGAAAUACAUUAGAAAAUAUGAAAUUGUUUACCUGUGAUAGAGAAUAGGUUUGUGAUUAGAAGAAUUAUACUGUUUUUCUUAUACAAAGAAUGCUUAAAGUGGAAUUUCUGUCUCCCAGUGAUGUUGGAAGCAUAUUUUAUGCAGCCUAAAAACUCUUUCUGUAUUAAAUAUUUAAAUGCAUGAGGAUAAAUUCGAAUUGCUUUUUGUUUAAACCAGAAACAUAGAAGAAGUAUUAGCCCCAGUUUGUACAAAAUGUCUGCUGCAACUGAACUCAUGAUAGUUCAAAACUGAAAAUCAUUCUAAUUUUGUAAAACUGGUUUUAUCAAUAAAGUUUAAGCAGAUGGCUUAUA